rnacentral:rRNA from 1 species
GAUGAACGCUGGCGGCGUGCCUAAUACAUGCAAGUCGAGCGAACAGACGAGGAGCUUGCUCCUCUGACGUUAGCGGCGGACGGGUGAGUAACACGUGGAUAACCUACCUAUAAGACUGGGAUAACUUCGUGAAACCGGAGCUAAUACCGGAUAAUAUAUUGAACCGCAUGGUUCAAUAGUGAAAGACGGUUUUGCUGUCACUUAUAGAUUGUUCCGCGCCGCAUUAGCUAGUUGGUAAGGUAACGGCUUACCAAGGCAACGAUGCGUAGCCGACCUGAAAGGGAGAUUCGCCACACUGGAACUGAGACACGGUCCAGACUCCUACGGGAGGCAGCAGUAGGGAAUCUUCCGCAAUGGGGGAAAGGCUGACGGAGCAACGCCGGGGGAGGGAUGAAGGUCUUCGGAUCGGAAAACUAUGUUAGUAGGGAAGAACAAAUGUGUAAGUAACUAUGCACGUCUUGACGGUACCUAAACAGAAAGCCACGGCUAACUACGUG